AAAUCUUCAUCACAAUAAUUUUAAAAUUUCAAAUUUCAUUAUCGGAAUCACAAUACAACCAUUAAUAUAAUAAAAAUCACAGACAACCACCAUAAAAAUUCAAUAUCCACUACUAACAUUGACAUUGGAAUCACAAUAUGUGCAAUUAAAUCUUAGCUUUAAAUCGUCAAUAAAAUUGCCAUCGAAAUCACAACUGUCAAUCCCACUAUGCAUACCCGAAAUCACAACACUCCAUAUUACAACAUUUAAUUCGUCAAAUACUCCAUUAAUUGACGAAUCUGAGAAUACCCAAAGCCCAAAGUCUUCCAAGAAAUCUAUGGUGUGAUUUGUUACACCAUACAUUUAUGAGAAUACCACAUCUUUCAUCUCCAAUCUAUGGUGUGAUUUUUAACUCGUCAAAUCGUUCAAUUUGAAAAUACCCAGUUACCCACGUGUUUCCAGAAACCACAUCUUCCACCUCCAUUAACUCAAAGUGAAAAAGGACGAGUUGUUGAUGAAGAGAAGAAAGUGAGAAAGGAAGUGGAUUUGAAGGGAAAGUGAAGUAGAGAAUAAGUGAACAAUUCAACAAUUUCAUAUUUUUAAUGGUGAAUUGUUGAAUAUUUUCUUCCAUUGAAAUUUUCUUGUUGAAUUUGCUUGGUUAUUUGACGGGAAAGUGAAGUAGAGUAAGAGUGAAGAAAAGGAAUCAAUUUUUUUUUUUUGUUGUUGAAAUUGCUUGGUUAUUUGAAGGGAAAAUGAAGUAGAGAAAGAGUGAAGAAGAAAGAGUUGUUGAAUUAAU
rnacentral:lncRNA from 1 species